GAUGAAGAACGUAGCGAAAUGCGAUAAGUAAUGCGAAUUGCAGAAUUCAGUGAGUCAUUGAAUCUUUGAACGCACAUUGCGCCCUGUGGUAUUCCGCAGGGCAUGCCUGUUCGAGCGUCAUUUCAACCCUCAAGCUCUGCUUGGUGUUGGGCCCUGCCCGCUGCGGCCGGCCCUAAAGACAGUGGCGGUGCCGCCUGGCCCUGAGCGUAGUACAUCUCUCGCUCCAGUGCCCGGUGUUAGCCUGCCAGAACCCCAACUCUCGUGGUUGACCUCGGAUCAGGUAGGGAUACCCGCUGAACUUAAGCAUAUCAAUAAGCGGAGGA
rnacentral:misc_RNA from 1 species